rnacentral:lncRNA from 1 species
AACAGCUUAAUUUGUUACAAAAAUAUGUAUCAAUGAUAAUCACAGAACAUUUAUCAAUGUUCAUCUUUAAAAUUGUAUAUAAAAAAUAAUAAGCCAACCAUAGUGAUUAAUAUCAAAAAAAGUAAAAAAAUUGACCAAGUUUCAUGUUGUCGAUAUAAAAAAUAUCAUAGAACAAAUUACAAAACCAUCUAAUAUCUUCUUAGCGAUCUUCAAUGUGCUCAUCAUUAGCUUCUUCAUUUUCUCCACCUACAAAAAAAAGUCAUGUCAAUUAUCUUUGACAAAUGGACAGAAAGAAGUAGAAACCAUGUCAUAAGAACUCUAUGUUACCAAGAAGACAAUGUUAUGGAUAGCUUAAAAACUGAAGUAGCAUGUUAUCGCUAUUUGACAAAUGGUUAGAAAGAAAUAGAAAUCAUGUCAUAAUCGCUGUUUUUUUACCAUGUUUUCCAUGAUUAUACAGUAGCAUAGCAUCUUCAUUCAUUCAGAUCUGUAAUAACAAUUGCAUUUGACUGAACAAUCCAUUCUCACUAUCAAUUCUUCAAUUAGUAGAUCUAUUGUGAUGCAACAGUGAAAUGACCCAAAAUCCAGUUCUUAUAUGCUGCAAACCUACCUAAGUUAAGCCAAACUACAAUCUACUUGGUGAUAUUUAAGUUGAAGACUUUUGAAUAAAUAAGUAUAAGUUUCAGUUCUAUCUUUCCAUGUGAUAUACAAUUAAUAAUCAGCACAACCUAGAAUAAAUAACCUGGAGACAAAUGCUAACGCAAUAGUCAAAUGUGACUUUAAAGGGUUAUUAAGUAGCCAUAGGUCUUAGGGGGAGCAUUUUUUAGUGUUGAGGGUUAUAAACUGGCUAAACCAAUCAUGCAACAUUCUCACAAGUUGCAAGACGUACAGUCAAAUGCAGCAAGCAAUAUACAAGAGAACUAUGGGGAGAAAGUGGAACCAUAAGGUAAUCAGAAAAUCAUUCGAACUAGAACCCAAAAUCAUUUUAACUCAGCAUAUCACUCCAAAUUUCCUUUCUUACUAUGGUUAAUACAUGAUAAAAUUACACUACAACCCAAUUUUUUUUUUCAAAAAUUUGGUUCCACUGCUGGAUACUGUAAAAGAUCCAUAUGGGUCCAAUGGGAAGUUCACAUUGGUAUCAUAACAUCCAGAAUGAAGAAGGAUUGUUAUAAUAGCCCUAGUACAUAUAAACUAUAGUGUCGUUAUUAUAGGAAAUUUGUGUACUAAAGCUAAAACAUCAACAGAGAUCAACUAAGGGAAAAACACUCAAGUAAAAUUAUCAAAGGAGUAAAGUACUCCAGAAGCAAACUACUAUGGUGCUCGGAGAAAACAAGAAAAACUAGAAGCAGACGAUAGAAGCAAAAUUUCAGUUGUAAUGAAGUAGCAGGAGAAAAAGAAGAAGAAUAAGAAGAAGUAGUAGUAGCAGUACUAACCUUUAGUUUCUCCUGAUGUACA